GGGGGUGGAUGAGUGGCGAACGGGUGAGUAACACGUGAGUAACCUGCCCCGAACUCUGGGAUAAGCGCUGGAAACGGCGUCUAAUACUGGAUAUGUCCUAUCACCGCAUGGUGUGUAGGUGGAAAGAAUUUUGGUUCGGGAUGGACUCGCGGCCUAUCAGCUAGAUGGUGAGGUAAUGGCUCACCAUGGCGACGACGGGUAGCCGGCCUGAGAGGGUGACCGGCCACACUGGGACUGAGACACGGCCCAGACUCCUACGGGAGGCAGCAGUGGGGAAUAUUGCACAAUGGGCGCAAGCCUGAUGCAGCAACGCCGCGUGAGGGAUGACGGCCUUCGGGUUGUAAACCUCUUUUAGUAGGGAAGAAGCGAAAGUGACGGUACCUGCAGAAAAAGCACCGGCUAACUACGUGCCAGCAGCCGCGGUAAUACGUAGGGUGCAAGCGUUGUCCGGAAUUAUUGGGCGUAAAGAGCUCGUAGGCGGCUUGUCGCGUCUGCUGUGAAAACCAGAGGCUCAACCUCUGGCCUGCAGUGGGUACGGGCAAGCUAGAGUGCGGUAGGGGAGAUUGGAAUUCCUGGUGUAGCGGUGGAAUGCGCAGAUAUCAGGAGGAACACCGAUGGCGAAGGCAGAUCUCUGGGCCGUAACUGACGCUGAGGAGCGAAAGCAUGGGGAGCGAACAGGAUUAGAUACCCUGGUAGUCCAUGCCGUAAACGUUGGGAACUAGAUGUAGGGCCUGUUCCACGGGUUCUGUGUCGUAGCUAACGCAUUAAGUUCCCCGCCUGGGGAGUACGGCCGCAAGGCUAAAACUCAAAGGAAUUGACGGGGGCCCGCACAAGCGGCGGAGCAUGCGGAUUAAUUCGAUGCAACGCGAAGAACCUUACCAAGGCUUGACAUAUACGAGAACACUGUAGAGAUACAGGACUCUUUGGACACUCGUAAACAGGUGGUGCAUGGUUGUCGUCAGCUCGUGUCGUGAGAUGUUCGGUUAAGUCCGGCAACGAGCGCAACCCUCGUCCUAUGUUGCCAGCACGUAAUGGUGGGAACUCAUGGGAUACUGCCGUGGUCAACACGGAGGAAGGUGGGGAUGACGUCAAAUCAUCAUGCCCCUUAUGUCUUGGGCUUCACGCAUGCUACAAUGGCCGAUACAAAGGGCUGCGAUACCGCGAGGUGGAGCGAAUCCCAAAAAGUCGGUCUCAGUUCGGAUUGGGGUCUGCAACUCGACCC
rnacentral:rRNA from 1 species